GAUGGCGUGCCUUUUGGAGAAUGAUCCUGCGAGUUACGUUAAACGGCGAGGUUAAGUAUAACGGAGCCGAAGGGAAACCAAGUCUUAAUAGGGCGAUAUAGUCGUUUGGCGUAGACGCGAAACCUGGUGAUCUAAACCUGUCCAGGAUGAAGCUGUGGUAAGACACAGUGGAGGUCCUAACCCACCGCCGUUGAAAAGUUGGGGGAUGAGGUAGGUUUAGGGGUGAAAAGCCAAUCGAACCAGGAGAUAGCUCGUUCUCUCCGAAAUGCAUCUAGGUGCAGCCUUGAGUGUUCAAUUAUGGGGGUAGAGCACUGAAUGAUCUAGGGGGCAUAUUGCUUACUGAAAUCAAUCAAACUCCGAAUACCAUAAUUUAUAGCUCAGGAGUGAGACUAUGGGAGUUAACUUCCAUUGUCAAAAGGGAAACAACCCAGACCACCAGCUAAGGUCCCUAAUUAUAACUAAGUGGGAAAGGAGGUGGAGAUUCACAAACAACUAGGAGGUUGGCUUAGAAGCAGCCAUACCUUUAAAGAGUGCGUAAUAGCUCACUAGUCGAGAGUCUCUGCGCCGACAAUGUAACGGGGCUAAGUUAUAAACCGAAGCUGUGGAAUCCAUUUGGAUUGGUAGGAGAGCGUUCUGUAGGCCGUUGAAGAAGAAGGGUAACCAACUUUGGAGGUAUCAGAAGUGAGAAUGCAGGAAUAAGUAGCGAGAAAGGGGGCGAGAAUCCCCCUCGCCGGAAGACCAAGGUUUUCAGGGUAAAGCUUGUCUUCCCUGAGUAAGCCGGGACCUAAGCCCAGGCUAUAAUGCGUAGGCGAAUGGAAAACAGAUUAAUAUUUCUGUGCCAGUCAUUUAUUGUGAUGGAGGGACGCAGAAGGGUAUGCACGCGGACGAUCGGUUGUGUCCGUAGAAGUAUGUAGGAUGAUUUAGUAGGUAAAUCCAUUAAGUUAUAUCUGAGGUAUUAUAUACAGUCGUAAGAUGAAUGUGCAAAUCCCACGCUGCCAAGAAAAGCUUCUAGCGUUAAUAUUUGACUGCCCGUACUGUAAACCGACACAGGUGGUCAGGAUGAGAAAUCUAAGGCGGACAGGCUAACUCUCGUUAAGGAACUCUGCAAAAUAACCUCGUAACUUCGGGAGAAGAGGAGCCCUUGUGUGUGAGUAUACAUGCGAUACAAAGCGCACGAGGGUCGCAGUGAAGAGGCUCAAGCAACUGUUUAACAAAAACACAGGUCUAUGCUAAGCUGUAAGGCGAUGUAUAUGGGCUGACACCUGCCCAGUGCUGGAAGGUUAAGAGGAGGAGUGAGAGCUCCGAAUUGAAGCCCCAGUGAACGGCGGCCGUAACUAUAACGGUCCUAAGGUAGCGAAAUUCCUUGUCGGGUAAGUUCCGACCUGCACGAAUGGUGUAAUGAUUUGAGCGCUGUCUUGACGGGAGGCCUGGUGAAAUUGUAUUACCGGUGAAGAUACCGGUUACCUACAGUAGGACGGAAAGACCCCAUGGAGCUUUACUGUAGCUUGGUAUUGGGUUUUGGCAUUGCAUGUAUAGGAUAGUUGGGAGACUAUGAAGGUAUGGCGCUAGCUGUAUCGGAGUCAUCGGUGGAAUACCAACCAUUCAAUGCUGAAAUUCUAAUCUGUGGUUUGAAGCCACGGAGACAGUGCUAGGUGGGCAGUUUGACUGGGGCGGUCGCCUCCGAAAGAGUAACGGAGGCGUUCAAAGGUUCUCUCAGGUUGGAUGGAAAUCAACCAUAGAGUGCAAUGGCAUAAGAGAGCUUGACUGCAAGACUGACGGGUCGAGCAGAUGCGAAAGCAGGACAUAGUGAUCCGGCGAUUCCGAAUGGAAGGGUCGUCGCUCAACGGAUAAAAGCUACCCUGGGGAUAACAGGCUGAUCCUACCCGAGAGUCCAUAUCGACGGUAGGGUUUGGCACCUCGAUGUCGGCUCAUCGCAUCCUGGGGCUGGAGAAGGUCCCAAGGGUUGGGCUGUUCGCCCAUUAAAGCGGUACGUGAGCUGGGUUCAGAACGUCGUGAGACAGUUCGGUCCCUAUCCACUGUAGGCGUUAGAAUAUUGAGAAGACCUGUCCUUAGUACGAGAGGACCGGGAUGGACAAACCUCUGAUGUACCAGUUGUCACGCCAGUGGCACAGCUGGGUAGUCACGUUUGGAAUAGAUAACCGCUGAAAGCAUCUAAGCGGGAAACUAACUUCAAGAUAAGUAUUCUUUAAGAUACCUUCGAGCCUAGGAGGUUGAUAGGUUGGGGGUGUAAGUACAGCAAUGUAUUUAGCUGACCAAUACUAAUUAUCGAAGUUUUAAUCUA
rnacentral:rRNA from 1 species